UACGUAGGUGGCAAGCGUUGUCCGGAUUUACUGGGCGUAAAGGGCGUGCAGGCGGUUUGUUAAGUCUGGGGUGAAAGCUCCCGGCUCAACUGGGAGAGGUCCUUGGAUACUGGCAAACUUGAGGGAGGCAGAGGAGAGUGGAAUUCCCGGUGUAGUGGUGAUAUGCGUAGAUAUCGGGAGGAACACCAGUGGCGAAGGCGGCUCUCUGGGCCUUUCCUGACGCUGAGACGCGAAAGCGUGGGGAGCGAACCGG
rnacentral:rRNA from 1 species